GGUUCAAUGGUCUAGUGGUUAUGAUUUCUGUCUCACAUUGAGAUUUGCCGGAUUUAUUUGGCACACAGAAGGUCUCCAGUUCGAUCCUGGAUUGAACCA